AUUUUGAUAUUGUCUUUUUAAAUUCCACGCAUUCCUCUUCCUUGUCACAGCCUGGCCUACAUUACCCACAAUGCAACUCAGCUGCU